CUGUUUUGUCUGCUUUCGCUUUCCGUCCCAUGUACCGUCCGCAGCUCAAAGUACGCUUAUCAGAAACUCAAAAAGUGAUGUUUCCUGUGCUGAUAUAAGAUUGUGAUCUGCCGCUCGUCUCCUCAUGGCAGAGGUCUAUUAUGUUGGAGUGGACGUGGGCACUGCCAGUGUGAGGGCUGCACUGGUGACCAGAGAUGGCCUCCUGAAGAGCACUGCAGAGGAGCCCAUCAGCAUCUGGGAGCCCCAGACUGACCACUAUGUCCAGUCCUCCACUGAGAUCUGGGAGAAAUGCUGCACAGUUGUGAAGAAAGUUACCCAGGGUGUGGAGAGGAACCAGGUUCGUGGUGUUGGUUUUGAUGCCACCUGCUCUCUAGUGGUUUUGGACCAAAGCUUCCAGCCUGUGCCAGUCUGUCAGAACGGUGACAGACAAAGGAACGUGGUGAUGUGGAUGGACCAUCGUGCUGCGGAGCAGGCCGUCCGUAUAAACGACACCGGCCACAAGGUCCUGAGCAGGGUGGGAGGGGUCAUGUCACCUGAGAUGCAGCCCCCUAAGCUGCUCUGGCUCAAAGAGAAUCUAAAAGAAAUCUGCUGGGACAAAGCUGCUCACUUUUUUGACCUGCCAGACUUCCUGUCUUGGAAAGCAACAGGCUCUUUGACAAGAUCUUUAUGUACUCUGGUGUGUAAAUGGACAUAUUGCCCUCCAAAGGGAUGGGAUGCCAGCUUUUGGGCUAGCAUUGGACUGGAGGACCUCCUGGAAAAUAACUUUUCCAAAAUAGGCAACGUGACGUGUUCUCCAGGGAGCCCACUGGGACACGGCCUCACCCAGGAGGCAGCAGCAGAUUUGGGUUUGGACCCAGGAAUUGCAGUUGGUGCUUCUCUCAUUGAUGCUCAUGCUGGAGGCCUAGGUGUGAUAGGUGCAAAUGUAAAAGGCUUUAACUUGCCAUGUGAGGACCAGCCGAUCACCGCACGCAUGGCGAUGAUCUGCGGGACAUCAACCUGUCACAUGGCGAUCAGCGAGCAGCCUCUGUUUGUGCCGGGGGUGUGGGGACCCUGCCUGUCUGCUAUGGUGCCUGGCUUGUGGCUCAACGAGGGAGGACAGAGUGCUACAGGACGGCUGAUUGACCACAUGGUGAAGGGCCACGCUGCCUACACCCAGCUCCAGGAACAGGCACAGCAGAGAUUUCCCUUCAUAGGCGAGAACAUCUACAGCUACCUGAACAGCCACCUGAGUUUAAUGGCUAACUCGAGCACCGCUGUUGACCUGCUGGGAUCCAGUCUUCACGUGUGGCCGGACUUCCAUGGGAACAGGUCUCCUCUGGCUGAUCCCACAUUGAAGGGCAUGGUGAUUGGACUGUCUCUCUCCCAAACUUUGGAUGACUUGGCUCUGCUCUAUUUGGCCACUAUACAAGCCCUCGCUCUUGGUACUCUUCAUAUUCUGGACGCCAUGAAAGAAGCAGGACAUGACAUCAGAACCCUCUUCCUGUGUGGAGGACUGAGCAAAAACUGCUUGUUUGUGCAGAUUCACGCCAAUGCUACAGGAUUGCCUGUGGUGCUGCCAGACCAGGCAGAGGCUGUGUUAAUAGGAGCAGCAGUCUUGGGUGCAUGUGCAUCACAGGACUACAGCACAAUACAGGAGGCAAUGGAGAAAAUGGCUAAAGUGGGGAAAGUUGUUCAGCCUGACCAUAAACUCCAGGGCUUCUAUGAGAGGAAAUACAAGGUGUUCCAGCGACUCUUUGCCCACCAGAGGGAGUACCAGACCCUUAUGAACCACAGAUGACACUGUUGUUGGGAGGGGAGCCCGAGCUGGAUCUGAGUCUCUGAGGCGUAACAGUGAUGAUAAAUCCACACACUGGAAACAAGAACAGAAAUCUUAACCCUGCUGUUUUUAUUGAUAUUAAUAAUGGUCCAUUUAAACUUUUAAUAAUUUUCUCAAUAAACUGAGGGAAAACAGUUGUCUGAUGUGAAAUAUGGCUGGUGGCAGAGUUCAGAUGACAGAUGGCAGAUAACAGUAGAUGAGACCUCUGUGGAGACAAAGCUGUUGGAGCUCUCCAUGACUGUCUGUAUUUUAGAUCCACUGUUGCAGUUCUACCCCAAAAUGAAGAGGAGGAUGCAGGAGCACGUGUGGGGACAUCAACAGACUGUACGGUGUUUGACUCGCUCGUCACCCCUCUGCUCCAUCCAAGUGAGGAGCCUGUUGCCAGCAGUUCCCUGGAUCAAAGUUGAUAAGCUCCUCGCUCAUGCCGUUGAACCAGAUGUGGUUACAGAAAACGAGCAGCCGUAGCUUAUCACACCUUGGUCCAUCCAUGG